AGCCCGUUUGGGUUUGUCGUGGAUUUCCAUACAAGACAGACAUUUUCUUAAGUUUCCAGAUUCUUCAUUUACAAACACUUGUCUAAUAUUUUAAGCUUCCCACACGGCAGCAGACAUUUCCUUAUUUUGCUUCUCGGAAGUACUUGGGAAAAGAUAACCCAAAAGAUACUUCUAAGUGAAGCCCGUCCUUGCUGGUUGACCUCAGGAAACCAUGGGAAGUGUGUGGCCAUCUCUGCAAGGAUGCUGGGUGUGAAAAGGUGAGGGGACUUCAACUGAUAUCCACCGUCCCAUGUCCUUGUGGAGCUUUGAAUAACACUUACUUAGCACCAUUCUUCGGAUGCAAGGAAGGAAAAGGAGAGAGCUCCUUCGAGUGGGAGAAGUGGAUGUAAGGGGCAUUUUAUGAUGCCUUGGUGAGGAGGGCAAAUCAAGAAAGUCCCCUGGAGCUGCUGAGUUCCUUCAAGAUUUGGUAAGUCUGCAGAUGAGGCCUGCGGGUGGAGCGGGCGCCUAAGCUGCGGAUCACUCCUGCGGGCGCUCGCUCUCUCCACGCCGCCGCCCGCGCGCCCGCGGCAGCCACGAGCGUCCCGGGCGGGGAAACGCGUUGCCUCCCGGCGGCGCCUAUUACUAGCAGCUGCUUCUGCUUAGCCCUUCGAGGAUCGGUUUGCCCCAACCCACGGCCUCUCCCAGGGUUCGGUCUUCUCCCGCCCCUCCCUCCCUUCCCCGCCUCUCCCCCAAGCUCCUCAGUGGCCGCGGCCCGUCAACACUGUGAGAUGUGAUGAAACCAAGCCUCAGAACAUUUUUUAAUGUUGAUAGAGCAGGCUUGAAAAAACUUGUCAUAUAAAUCAAACUGUUCUGGGGGCAAACUCGUGUUGUUUUUAAACCACAGAGUGGGUCAAUGGGUGUGGUUAUGCACAUGGUUGAAUGGUGAAUGUAUAGAUUAAAAUAUAUUUUGCCACACUAGUUUCCAGAGGAUUGUUUUGGCCUGGUGUUUCAAGCUAUGAGCCAAAACUUUGGUCAGUAUUUUGACAACAGAGCCAGGAAAAACAAAAAGGCUUAGCCUGUGAAAAAGAAAUGAAGAUGUAGUGAAGGAAAACAGUAGUCCCUCUGCCACUGCCUUACUCAAUCCAUAUGUGGGCUUAAACACAGGAAAUACCCACCAUUCACCGCAAUCAAGCCAGAGGCUUGUGCAUCAGAAAGUGCCUUGUGGAACUAAUUGGACUCUAUUAAGAUUGUCAUUGACAUAGGAAAGCAUUUUGAAAUUUUAAAUCAGAACAUUCAAUGUACAUAGAAAAAGAUAACAGUCACAUUGUUGACUCAGGACUACAAAUAUAGGCAUAAUACACACACAAACAUGCAAGAUUUGUAUGCUUUAUUCAGUGAUGUACUGUAUUAAUUACCAGGAGCAUGUUUGUCUUCUUUCACUUUAUGUGUUUGCCUUGAAUCUAUAACCUUUCCAGAAUGUUCUGGAGCCACCUCACAAGGCACCAGAGAAAAUCCAAGCAUUGCCAAUUUAAAAUGAUAAUCAACAAACUUGCCAUAAGAGCAAAGUUUAUAGGAAAAAAACCAUAGUUUGAAAUAAUGGAACUCACAGAGAACUUUUUCACACAUGAUAUUGGACAAAAGUACAUAUAGUGUAAGUAUUCAUGGAUACACACAAAUCUAACUCUGGCAACAAAUCUUUGGCAAAGAGUUGGAUUUAACAUUUCAAUUACACUUAUCUUUAAAAAUUACCUAAACAUGGCUUAUAGCUGGGAGCUUACCCUCCCUUUGUUCUGGCUGUGGUCCAUUGUAUUUUUAUUAUACUUCCAGGACGUUCAUUGGGGUCAUACAUGCUUAGCUCUGACAACUCUCUCAAUGUUAGGGUUGCCAAUUACAUUUGCUUCAUAGAUAAGGUUAAUGUGUUGCUAAUAUUCUUAGGUCUAAAAUCUGUAUUUGGUUUGUUUUGUAAAAAUAUGAGUUCCCACUAUUAUGAGGAAUAUGCUGUAUCUUAUCUGCCUAAAAAUUUUGGACGGUACUAUACUGUAUAGUCAUUUAAGUUUUCUUUUAUAUAAAAGCUGACAAUAACCAUAACCACAGUCUAUAUUAGAAGAUAACUAAGAUGAAUACAGACAAGAUGAUCUUGGAAGAUAACUAAGAUGAAUACAGACAAGAUGAUCUCUCACCAAAUUUCUCAGUCUAACUUUUGCUGCCAUUUUUUAGUAGUAAGCUUCUUUACUUUGUUAGCUUCAAAAUGUCUUCUUUGUCAUGGGUCACUUGCAGUGUAGUUCAGCAUUUCUCCAAUUUCAAAAACAAAAUGAUUGCAACUGGGGAG
rnacentral:lncRNA from 1 species